AAGCAUCUCUGACAGACCUGGAGCAGUUAAUGUCUGCUGCUAAGGUUUUCACUACAGAUGCAAGAAAAAGAAACAAAAGAAGAUCCUCACUUUUUGUCUGUCUGGUUGUGGCAGCCAAGAUUAAAUGGGGGAAUACAGGA
rnacentral:snoRNA from 1 species